rnacentral:rRNA from 1 species
UGCCUUUACACAUGCAAGUCGAGCGGCAGCACGGGGGCAACCCUGGCGGCGAGUGGCGAACGGGUGAGUAAUAUAUCGGAACGUGUCCAGUAAUGGGGGAUAACCAACCGAAAGCUUGGCUAAUACCGCAUACGCCCUGAGGAGGAAAGUGGGGGAUCGCAGGACCUCACGUUACAGGAGCGGCCGAUAUCGGAUUAGCUAGUUGGUGGGGUAAAGGCUCACCAAGGCGACGAUCCGUAGCGGGUCUGAGAGGACGACCAGCCACACUGGAACUGAGACACGGUCCAGACUCCUACGGGAGGCAGCAGUGGGGAAUUUUGGACAAUGGGCGCAAGCCUGAUCCAGCCAUGCCGCGUGAGUGAAGAAGGCCUUCGGGUUGUAAAGCUC